CUUCUGUUUCCACCGCCGUAACUGUCAUACACAGGUCUUCCAUAGUAACCAUCAUAUUGUAUGUAUGGGGCAGGCCCACCGCCAUAACCAUUGUAGCAUGGCCCACCUGGAUGCCCCUGGUAACAAUCCAUACAACACGCGUUUACUUGGACAGGCGGUGGGUACCCUGGCACAACAGGACCCGGCUGCACUGGAGGAGGAGAAGGCUUCACUGGCUCAGCCGGUGGCGGUGCAGGUUUUGGCGGUUUCACUGGCUCCGCUGGUGGCGGUGCAGGUUUAGGAUUUUCAGGUUCCUUGGGUUUAUCUGCCGGUUUAGGUUUUUCAGGCUCUUUGGGUUUCUCUGCCGGUUUAGGUUUUUCAGGCUCUUUGGGUUUCUCAGUCGUCGGUUUAGGUUUUUCGGGCACUUUGGGUUUCUCUGCCGGUUUAGGUUUUUCGGGCUCUUUGGGUUUCUCGGCCGGUGGUGGCUUGGGCUUCUCUGGCUCUUUGAUCUCAAUGCUUUUUAUGGCACCUCCACCUUUGCAGCAAAUCUUGUCCCUUAUCUUUUCUGGACUACAGCAUACCACUUUGAUCACCACUUGGUUUUGCUUCUCGUCGUAUAUCUGGUCUCGUAUUUCUCUUGUUCACAAACACACAUUUUAUUUACUUAGUUUACGUUUUAUCCAAAAUUAAUCUUAGUUUCCCAAAAAGAAAGAACUUUAACUCGGUUGCUCAUCUAGUAAUUAUAGACAACUCAAGGAGAAGAGAGACUCACGGGGGAAUUUACAGAGAACUUUUUUGACCUUCUUAUAG
rnacentral:lncRNA from 1 species